rnacentral:rRNA from 1 species
GACGAACGCUGGCGGCGCGCUUAACACAUGCAAGUCGAACGUGAAGCCCGGGCUUGCCCGGGUGGAAAGUGGCGAACGGGUGCGUAACACGUGAGCAACCUGCCCCGAAGACCGGGAUAACACCGGGAAACCGGUGCUAAUACCGGAUGCCCUCAUCAUGUCGCAUGGCGAGAUGAGGAAAUGGAUUCCGCUUCGGGAUGGGCUCGCGGCUUAUCAGCUUGUUGGUGAGGUAACGGCUCACCAAGGCUACGACGAGUAGCUGGUCUGAGAGGAUGUCCAGCCACACUGGGACUGAGACACGGCCCAGACUCCUACGGGAGGCAGCAGUGGGGAAUCUUGCACAAUGGGCGAAAGCCUGAUGCAGCGACGCCGCGUGCGGGAUGACGG